rnacentral:rRNA from 1 species
AUUGAACGCUGGCGGCAUGCCUAACACAUGCAAGUCGAACGGCAGCACGGGUAGUUGUCCCUGGUGCCGAUUGGCGCUGGCGGGAGUAAUACAUCUGAAUAUGUACCGUAGUGGGCGAUGGCCCGGCCAAAGCCGGAUUAAUACCGCAUACGCUUACCGGCUGCAGGCGGGAGCACUGGAGGCUUCGCGCUUUCGGGUUGGAAGAUGUCGGAUUAGCUAGUUGGUGGGGUAAAGGCCUACCAAGGCCACGAUAAGUAGCUGGUCUGAGAGGGAGACCAGCCACACUGGAACUGAGACACGGUCCAGACUCCUACGGGAGGCAGCAGUGGGGAAUAUUGGACAAUGGGCGAAAGCCUGAUCCAGCAAUGCCGCGUGUGUGAAGAAGGCCUUCGGGUUGUAAAGCACUUUUGUUCGGAAAGAAAAGCUGGGCCCUAAUACGGUCGGGUUAUGACGGUACCGAAAGAAUAAGCACCGGCUAACUACGUG